GACGAACGCUGGCGGCGUGCUUAACACAUGCAAGUCGAACGGAAAGGCCCUGCUUUUGUGGGGUGCUCGAGUGGCGAACGGGUGAGUAACACGUGAGUAACCUGCCCUUGACUUUGGGAUAACUUCAGGAAACUGGGGCUAAUACCGGAUAGGAGCUCCUGCUGCAUGGUGGGGGUUGGAAAGUUUCGGCGGUUGGGGAUGGACUCGCGGCUUAUCAGCUUGUUGGUGGGGUAGUGGCUUACCAAGGCUUUGACGGGUAGCCGGCCUGAGAGGGUGACCGGCGACAAUGGGACUGAGAUACGGCCCAGACUCCUACGGGAGGCAGCAGUGGGGAAUAUUGCACAAUGGGCGGAAGCCUGAUGCAGCAACGCCGCGUGCGGGAUGACGGCCUUCGGGUUGUAAACCGCUUUCGCCUGUGACGAGGCGUGAGUGACGGUAAUGGGUAAAGAAGCACCGGCUAACUACGUG
rnacentral:rRNA from 1 species